rnacentral:lncRNA from 1 species
UGCUAAAGUGAACAAACAUUUAAAAACUAAAUUGUAAUUACGGUUAUUUUAAAUCAUUGCUCCCUUCAUCCCAACAACACUAUCAGGAGGUGCGUGGUAGAACACCAGGCAUGUGCGUGUUCUCCCCAUGGAGGCGGUGGAGAGACAGGACAGGCUGCAGGAGGAGGUAAUGAGUAACUGCUCCUGCCAAGUGCUCCCUGCUUCCUGAAGGGGAAUGCUGUGGGUCUCCAUCCGCCAUACCAGCUAUGGCUUGCUGAUAUUGACACAGCCCUCAUCUCUCCUUCUAAACUCCAGGCCAAAGACAGAGUCUCAGGGCCCGGGACCCUCACCAUGUGGUUCGCUUUGGACAGAAAGAAAGGUGAAGCCACUAUGCACUGUGCUUUCCUUGACACACAAGCUGUGGGCAGAAAACAAAAUGGGUGUGAGUCGUAUUUAAUUAAGAAUGCAAACCCUGCAAUCUGACUGCCCAGCUUCCUACGCUGUCUUUGCCAUUUACCAGCUGUGCAACAGUGAGCUGCUUCAGUUUCCUCAGCUGCAGAGCAGGAGUAACAGUGCAGCUUCCAGAAGAGCAAAGGGAGAAUCAAAUGAGUUGAUCUGAAAACAUUCAGAACAGUGUCCCUUAUACGUGGAAGGGACACUUUCAUCUCACGUUCAGUAGGAAAGAAACAGCCACUAUUCAGACAGCAAAUAAAAAUCAUCCGAUCAAUUACUUAUUGUAAAUUAUUUUACUGCCUUAGUACAUGAGUAUAAAGUACCUCAGAUACUCCUAUUUCCAACAUUUCCAAAAU